AGCGGCAGCGCGGUCUUCGGACUGGCGGCGAGCGGCGGACGGCUGAGUAACGCGUAGGAACGUACCCCAAACUGAGGGAUAACUGCUCGAAAGAGUAGCUAAUACCGCAUGUGAUCUCCGGAUUAAAGCUUCGGCGGUUUGGGAACGGCCUGCGUACGAUUAGAUAGUUGGUGAGGUAAUGGCUCACCAAGUCGACGAUCGUUAGCUGGUCUGAGAGGAUGAUCAGCCAGACUGGGACUGAGAACGGCCCAGACUCCUACGGGAGGCAGCAGUAGGGAAUUUUCCACAAUGGGGGCAACCCUGAUGGAGCAACGCCGCGUGCAGGAUGAAGGGCUUCGGGUUGUAAACUGCUUUUAUAUGUGACGAAUAUGACGGUAGCAUAUGAAUAAGGAUCGGCUAACUCCGUGCCAGCAGCCGCGGUCAUACGGAGGAUCCAAGCGUUAUCCGGAAUUACUGGGCGUAAAGAGUUGCGUAGGUGGCAGAGUAUGUCUGUAGUGAAAGCGUGUGGCUCAACCAUAUACACAUUACAGAAACUGCUCAGCUAGAGGGCGAGAGAGGUUACUAAAAAUU
rnacentral:rRNA from 1 species